UACGAAGGGGGCUAGCGUUGUUCGGAGUUACUGGGCGUAAAGGGCGCGUAGGCGGCGCACCAAGUCAGGCGUGAAAACCCGGGGCUCAACUCCGGGCCUGCAUUCGAUACGGGCAGACUAGAGUUCGGUAGGGGAGACUGGAAUUCCUGGUGUAGCGGUGAAAUGCGCAGAUAUCAGGAGGAACACCGGUGGCGAAGGCGGGUCUCUGGGCCGAUACUGACGCUGAGGAGCGAAAGCGUGGGGAGCGAACAGG
rnacentral:rRNA from 1 species